CGAACGGGUGAGUAAUAUAUCGGAACGUGCCCAGUAAUGGGGGAUAGCCCGGCGAAAGCCGGAUUAAUACCGCAUACGACCUACGGGUGAAAGCGGGGGAUCGCAAGACCUCGCGUUAUUGGAGCGGCCGAUAUCAGAUUAGCUUGUUGGUGGGGUAAAAGCCUACCAAGGCGACGAUCUGUAGCUGGUCUGAGAGGACGACCAGCCACACUGGGACUGAGACACGGCCCAG
rnacentral:rRNA from 1 species